rnacentral:rRNA from 1 species
CACGCAGUAAACGAUGAAUACUAACUGUUUGCGAUAUACAGUAAGCGGUACAGCGAAAGCGUUAAGUAUUCCACCUGGGGAGUACGUUCGCAAGAAUGAAACUCAAAGGAAUUGACGGGGGCCCGCACAAGCGGAGGAACAUGUGGUUUAAUUCGAUGAUACGCGAGGAACCUUACCCGGGCUUGAAAUGCAUCUGACGAACAUGGAAACAUGUUUUCUAGCAAUAGCAGAUGUGUAGGUGC